CUUGAGCGAUCCCAGCCACAACGGCUCGGCCCGGUCCUGCCCGUAGGCGGCCAGCACCGCCCCGGCCUC
rfam:Streptomyces sp. 150FB scaffold00001, whole genome shotgun sequence.